GGAUGAAGAACGUAGCGAAAUGCGAAAAGUAAUGUGAAUUGCAGAAUUCAGUGAAUCAUCGAAUCUUUGAACGCACAUUGCGCCCGCUGGUACUCCGGCGGGCACGCCUGUCCGAGCGUCAUUUCAACCCUCAAGCCCUCCUUCGGGAUGGGCCUGGUGUUGGGGCUCGGCCGCCAUCUCCGGCGGCCGUCCCCUAAAUACAGUGGCGGUCACGUCGCGACUCCUUUGCGUAGUAGAAACACCUCGCUCCGGAUAGCAACGCGGUCCACGCCGUAAAACCCCCAAUUUUCAAUGGUUGACCUCGGAUCAGGUGGGAAUACCCGCUGAACUUAAGCAUAUCAAUAAGCGGAGGA
rnacentral:misc_RNA from 1 species